rnacentral:tRNA from 1 species
AGCGUGGUCGAGUGGUCAGCGCGUCGAAGUCGCAAAUCAGCCAUAAGGGGUUCAAGCCCCGCCAUGACC